UGGACCCUAGUGGCGGACGGGUGAGUAACGCGUGGGUAACCUGCCCCAUACCGGGGGAUAACACUUAGAAAUAGGUGCUAAUACCGCAUAAGCGCACGGUACUGCAUGGUCCAGUGUGAAAAACUCCGGUGGUAUGGGAUGGACCCGCGUCUGAUUAGCUUGUUGGCGGGGUAACGGCCCACCAAGGCGACGAUCAGUAGCCGGCCUGAGAGGGUGGACGGCCACAUUGGGACUGAGACACGGCCCAAACUCCUACGGAAGGCAGCAG
rnacentral:rRNA from 1 species